rnacentral:rRNA from 1 species
UUUCGCAAUGCCCGAAAGGGUGACGAAGCGACGCCGCGUGCGGGAAGAAGGCCUUCGGGUUGUAAACCGCUGUCGGGAGUUAAGAAAUGUAAGGAUGUUAACAGCAUCUUUGCUUGACUAAGGCUCCGGAGGAAGCCACGGCUAACUCUGUGCCAGCAGCCGCGGUAAUACAGAGGCGGCAAGCGUUGUUCGGUAUUAUUAGGCGUAAAGAGCACGUAGGUGGUUUUGUAAGUCAGAUGUGAAAGCCUUCUGUUCAAAGGAAGAACGGCAUCUGAAACUGCAAAUCUUGAGUGUAGGAGGGGAGAGUGGAACUUCUGGUGGAGCGGUGAAAUGCGUAGAUAUCAGAAGGAACGUCGGCGGCGAAAGCGACUCUCUGGCCUAUUACUGACACUGAGUGUGCGAAAGUUAGGGGAGCAAACGGGAUUAGAUACCCCGGUAGUCCUAACUGUAAACGAUGGGCACUAAGUAGAGGGGUUUUA